rnacentral:rRNA from 1 species
UACGUAGGGGGCAAGCGUUGUCCGGAUUUAUUGGGCGUAAAGAGCGUGUAGGCGGUUCGGUAGGUCCGUUGUGAAAACUCGAGGCUCAACCUCGAGACGCCGAUGGAAACCCCCGAACUAGAGUCCGGAAGAGGAGAGUGGAAUUCCCGGUGUAGCGGUGAAAUGCGCAGAUAUCGGGAAGAACACCCGUGGCUAAGGCGGCUCUCUGGGCCUGUACUGACGCUGAGGAGCGAAAGCGUGGGGAGCGAACAGG